UGGGGAAUAUUGGACAAUGGGCGAAAGCCUGAUCCAGCCAUGCCGCGUGUGUGAAGAAGGUCUUCGGAUUGUAAAGCACUUUAAGUUGGGAGGAAGGGCAUUAACCUAAUACGUUAGUGUUUUGACGUUACCGACAGAAUAAGCACCGGCUAACUCUGUGCCAGCAGCCGCGGUAAUACAGAGGGUGCAAGCGUUAAUCGGAAUUACUGGGCGUAAAGCGCGCGUAGGUGGUUUGUUAAGUUGGAUGUGAAAUCACCGGGCUCAACCUGGGAACUGCAUUCAAAACUGACUGACUAGAGUAUGGUAGAGUGUGGUGGAAUUUCCUGUGUAGCGGUGAAAUGCGUAGAUAUAGGAAGGAACACCAGUGGCGAAGGCGACCACCUGGACUAAUACUGACACUGAGGUGCGAAAGCGUGGGGAGCAAACA
rnacentral:rRNA from 1 species